rnacentral:rRNA from 1 species
UACGUAGGGUGCAAGCGUUGUCCGGAAUUAUUGGGCGUAAAGAGCUCGUAGGCGGUCUGUCGCGUCGGCUGUGAAAACUCGGGCUCACCCGAGCCUGCAGUCGAUACGGGCAGACUAGAGUGCUGUAGGGGAGACUGGAAUUCCUGGUGUAGCGGUGAAAUGCGCAGAUAUCGAGGAGGAACACCGGUGGCGAAGGCGGGUCUCUGGG